CACACACACACACACACACACACACACACACACACACACACACACAGGUAUGUUUCCAGACAACUGUUCAGUUGGGUCUAUGCCAAUGAAAGUUUCAUAUCGUUUUACUUGGGUUUCUUGAAUUGCUAUGUGUACAUUGUCCGGUAGAGGGCGCCCAUCAGCUGCUUAUUUGUCACUUAGGACUGUAACUAAAACACUUCAAACCUUCAGGCUGGUUUUGGGGAUUUAAAGAUUUAAAGCAGAAAGUUCACCUUAGAUUUAAAGCAGAAAGUUCACCUUAUAAAGCUGGUUAUCUUUAACUGAUAGAAACUUAAAAAACGAAUUUUAUCUAGGAUUUGGAUGGACUGCAAGGAAUUUCAUGUGCUUUAUUUUAAAGGUUCAAAUGAAAGGCUUUUGUGUCCUAGUGUUAAACUGGAUGUACUCUGGAAACAUUACAAAAAAUCUAGAUGUUCAUAACAAGUCUGCUUUAAAACAGAAAUAAAGAGAAGAAAAGACAAAAACAACAUAUGAAUGCAGUCCUUCAUGAUUUUGUCCCAAAGAACAAAGAUGCGUGCAAACUGCAUCACCUUGUAGUAUGGCAGCUGCUCCGUCUGUGACCAGAAGGCCUCGUAACGAGUCAUGAAAUCUGCCAAAGCCAGUGCUGCUUUAUCGGCACCAUUAAGGACAUUCAGCACAAAUGAUUCCUUCAGAGCAGGGAACAUCCAUGGACUGUUUACCUGCAGUCAAGCAGACGGCACAGGAGUUUGCCAGCAUCAACAGGCCCAGGGCCUACAAUAACCACUAGAGUGACUCAAAUAAUCACUCUUUACAACCACAGUGAGCAGAAAAGCAUCUCGAAGCAUCUCAGACCUUCAGACCUCGAGGCAAAUGGGCAACUACAGCAGAAGGCCACAUUGGGCUUCAGUCCAAGAUGUAGAAUUGAAGGCUGCAGUGGGCACAGGUUUACCAAAACUCAUCUGUUAAGGACUGGAAAAACAAUGCCUGGAUUUCAUCUAAUCUGUAUUUUCAAGCUUUGGUUUAACUGCUCACCUUGAACUGGGAGUUCUUAGAUUUUCUGGUCAAUGCUAAAGUGUAGGACAUUUUUUGUGCUUAUUUACGUCCAUCAAACAUUCGUUAGUUUAAAAUAAAUCUGCAGAUUAAAUAGAAACACAUUUUUAUCAGUUCUUUUUAGUUGCAACCAUCCCUCUAACUUACUGGGCGAUGUGUAAAUAAACGAGUGCAAGGAACAGCAGGCUUCUCUCUGGUCAUGACUGACAUUCAGUUAUUGAUGUAGGCCAGAAAAGCUAAACAGCUCAGCCGUACUUAGGACUCGCACUAAGACUACAGAUUUACUAUUUUGGGAGUGUUACAAAAGAAACUCAUUGCACUGAGCAAUUCUGUAUAGUUGUAUCCUAUGACAAAGAUAAAAUACAUUUGGAGGUUUUAUUCAAUUCAAUUCAAGUUUAUUUGUAUAGCGCUUUUUACAAUAGACAUUGUCUCAAAGCAGCUUUACAGAACAUAAACAC